GACGAACGCUGGCGGCGUGCUUAACACAUGCAAGUCGAACGGAAAGGCCCUGCUUUUGUGGGGUGCUCGAGUGGCGAACGGGUGAGUAACACGUGAGUAACCUGCCCUUGACUUUGGGAUAACUUCAGGAAACUGGGGCUAAUACCGGAUAGGAGCUCCUGCUGCAUGGUGGGGGUUGGAAAGUUUCGGCGGUUGGGGAUGGACUCGCGGCUUAUCAGCUUGUUGGUGGGGUAGUGGCUUACCAAGGCUUUGACGGGUAGCCGGCCUGAGAGGGUGACCGGCCACAUUGGGACUGAGAUACGGCCCAGACUCCUACGGGAGGCAGCAGUGGGGAAUAUUGCACAAUGGGCGGAAGCCUGAUGCAGAAACGCCGCGUGCGGGAUGACGGCCUUCGGGUUGUAAACCGCUUUCGCCUGUGACGAAGCGCGAGUGACGGUAAUGGGUAAAGAAGCACCGGCUAACUACGUG
rnacentral:rRNA from 1 species